rnacentral:tRNA from 1 species
GAAUAUGGUGUCUAGCCGUUAGGAUUCGUGGCUUUCACCCAGGUGGCCCGGGUUCGAUUCCCAGCAUGUUGU